AUUGAACGCUGGCGGCAUGCCUUACACAUGCAAGUCGAACGGCAGCACGGAGCUUGCUCUGGUGGCGAGUGGCGAACGGGUGAGUAAUAUAUCGGAACGUACCCUGGAGUGGGGGAUAACGUAGCGAAAGUUACGCUAAUACCGCAUACGAUCUAAGGAUGAAAGUGGGGGAUCGCAAGACCUCAUGCUCGUGGAGCGGCCGAUAUCUGAUUAGCUAGUUGGUAGGGUAAAAGCCUACCAAGGCAUCGAUCAGUAGCUGGUCUGAGAGGACGACCAGCCACACUGGAACUGAGACACGGUCCAGACUCCUACGGGAGGCAGCAGUGGGGAAUUUUGGACAAUGGGCGCAAGCCUGACCCAGCAAUGCCGCGUGAGUGAAGAAGGCCUUCGGGUUGUAAAGCUCUUUUGUCAGGGAAGAAACGGUGGGAGCUAAUAUCUCCUGCUAAUGACGGUACCUGAAGAAUAAGCACCGGCUAACUACGUGCCAGCAGCCGCGGUAAUACGUAGGGUGCAAGCGUUAAUCGGAAUUACUGGGCGUAAAGCGUGCGCAGGCGGUUUUGUAAGUCUGAUGUGAAAUCCCCGGGCUCAACCUGGGAAUUGCAUUGGAGACUGCAAGGCUAGAAUCUGGCAGAGGGGGGUAGAAUUCCACGUGUAGCAGUGAAAUGCGUAGAUAUGUGGAGGAACACCGAUGGCGAAGGCAGCCCCCUGGGUCAAGAUUGACGCUCAUGCACGAAAGCGUGGGGAGCAAACAGGAUUAGAUACCCUGGUAGUCCACGCCCUAAACGAUGUCUACUAGUUGUCGGGUCUUAAUUGACUUGGUAACGCAGCUAACGCGUGAAGUAGACCGCCUGGGGAGUACGGUCGCAAGAUUAAAACUCAAAGGAAUUGACGGGGACCCGCACAAGCGGUGGAUGAUGUGGAUUAAUUCGAUGCAACGCGAAAAACCUUACCUACCCUUGACAUGGCUGGAAUCCUCGAGAGAUUGGGGAGUGCUCGAAAGAGAACCAGUACACAGGUGCUGCAUGGCUGUCGUCAGCUCGUGUCGUGAGAUGUUGGGUUAAGUCCCGCAACGAGCGCAACCCUUGUCAUUAGUUGCUACGAAAGGGCACUCUAAUGAGACUGCCGGUGACAAACCGGAGGAAGGUGGGGAUGACGUCAAGUCCUCAUGGCCCUUAUGGGUAGGGCUUCACACGUCAUACAAUGGUACAUACAGAGCGCCGCCAACCCGCGAGGGGGAGCUAAUCGCAGAAAGUGUAUCGUAGUCCGGAUUGUAGUCUGCAACUCGACUGCAUGAAGUUGGAAUCGCUAGUAAUCGCGGAUCAGCAUGUCGCGGUGAAUACGUUCCCGGGUCU
rnacentral:rRNA from 1 species